CCAGGUGGUUGUAGCAGGUGGCUUCCAACCUCCUAUGUGUGUGAGGGGCACUAUAAAGUGCCUUCCUCCAGCUGACACCCCUGCCAGGCUUGCUACAACAGCCCCACAGUUUUUUUUUUUACUCCCAAGGAGCCUCAACUGCACUCACCAGCUGCUUACAGAGCCCAAGAAAUCCCUCUGGCAGUCACAACCAGAAGACUUCUAUCUUGCACAGAGGAGGAGAAAAUCCUUGAAAUCUGGAUACCUCAAAAAACAGCUGAUACCCUCUCAAAAAAUAUUGCGUUUCUUCCUGAUUCUCUUCACCUGAUGCCUUGUAAUUGCCAUGCUCAGGCAGUGACGAGUUCACCAGAACAACAGUACCAUUUUUUGGGGAUUUGGAAGGAACUGUGAGCACUGGCCUGGUGGUGAGGCUGGUUGCCCAGGCUGGUGUCUUCUUCGGUUGGCAUCUGGGGAGGCUGCAUGGGGGCAGCAGGAGCCUGCGGGGACCUAUCUUCAUCCCUGGCAUCCCCUGUUCCUCGGGGAGAUUGUGGCAAGGAGGCAGCAGCUGCUGAAGAAGAAGCCACGAGGUGGCCCAGGAGUGGGUGAGCCUGGAGCAAGGGCGGCAGCACAGGACGUUUUUGUGUCCCCAGGCUGAGCAGAGAGGGGUCCCUCUGCCUCAGGCUGGUGGCCACGAGUACCCCAGGGGCUCCACAGAAUGUGUGUGGCCUCUUGGAAAGAUGCCCACACUCCCCAGAACUCUGUCUCCUGGCCAACGUUGAGAUGCACUUGAAUGAGACUUGAGUUUGGAUGAAGCUGGUUCAAGCAGAUCCUCAGUUUUACUUAGUUAUGCAGUGCUAAGAACGAAUAGCAUCCAAGUUUCUGCCAGAAACAAAUGUAUGUUUGCACAGAUUGAAAAGGUUACCUGGUUUCACUCCAUCCGAGAUGGGUUAUUUACUAUAAAUAUGUUUGCACUGGAGUUGUGAAAAUUAAGGCAUGUUGAUUGAAAACCUUACAGCAGAUGUUGUCUUAGCAUCCCCCAGGAAACUGUCACAAUCGUCUUUUCUUAAUGUGGAAGUGACACUUGCUUCAGAAACAGUUUGGGAAAUGAAUGUUGCACUGAGGAGGGGUUUGUGUUGUGUUGCCAGCGGAAUAUCAUAUGCCUGUUUGAUGCAUUAAGCAACAUGUAAAAAUUUAAUCAAAAGCACAUUUAUUAUACAUGAUAGUAAAAAAAAAAAAAAAAAAAAAAAAGAAAAAACAAAACCAACCAGCAAGGGCUUCUGCUACUCAUUAACUUCCUUAAAAAUGGCUGGAGAGAAAAGGGAAAGUGCCUGCGCCUAGCAAAAAGGCUUGGAAAUAAAAGUGCCGUCAUUAGCAUCACUGACCUAAAAAAAGAUUUGGCUUAGGAGUGAGCUCCCCCAGCAAAACUUCAUGUCUAGGCGAGCAGGAAAAAAUAGUCGAGGGGAUCCUAACACACUUGGGGUCUCCAUCUGCUGGGGUCCCUUCCCUGAGCAAGCAGGCAGCUGGGUUGGGGAGAGCGAGGAUGCAUCAAAUGGUGCUGGCAGGGACAGGGGCGCACCCUCUGCAGCGAGGGGUUGGGCA